rnacentral:lncRNA from 1 species
AAAAAAAAAAGAAAAAAGAAAAAUUUUAACUUGAAAACCAUUUAGAAAUUGACUAACCUUUUAUCUCUGAUGUUGACACUAACUUUUUUCAAAGUUUUACUUUGCCAUUGUAAAGAAAUCUAAAACCAUCAAUACUAUGAAAAUAUUUCCACAAAUAUAGUAUUAUGAACUACAGAGUAAAUAUAUCCUUCAUUUAACCUAAG